GCCGCUUUAGCUCAGUUGGCAGAGCAACGCAUUCGUAAUGCGUAGGUCCGGGGUUCGAAUCCCCGAAGCGGCUCCA
rnacentral:tRNA from 1 species